UGCGCAGGCGGUUUUGUAAGUCUGAUGUGAAAUCCCCGGGCUCAACCUGGGAAUUGUAUUGGAGACUGCAAGGCUAGAAUCUGGCAGAGGGGGGUAGAAUUCCACGUGUAGCAGUGAAAUGCGUAGAUAUGUGGAGGAACACCGAUGGCGAAGGCAGCCCCCUGGGUCAAGAUUGACGCUCAUGCACGAAAGCGUGGGGAGCAAACAGGAUUAGAUACCCUGGUAGUCCACGCCCUAAACGAUGUCUACUAGUUGUCGGGUCUUAAUUGACUUGGUAACGCAGCUAACGCGUGAAGUAGACCGCCUGGGGAGUACGGUCGCAAGAUUAAAA
rnacentral:rRNA from 1 species